AGCGAACGCUGGCGGCAGGCCUAACGCAUGCAAGUCGAACGAACCUUUCGGGGUUAGUGGCGGACGGGUGAGUAACACGUGGGAACGUGCCUUUAGGUUCGGAAUAACUCAGGGAAACUUGUGCUAAUACCGAAUGUGCCCUUCGGGGGAAAGAUUUAUCGCCUUUAGAGCGGCCCGCGUCUGAUUAGCUAGUUGGUUGAGGUAAUGGCUCACCAAGGCGACGAUCAGUAGCUGGUCUGAGAGGAUGAUCAGCCACAUUGGGACUGAGACACGGCCCAAACUCCUACGGGAGGCAGCGGUGGGGAAUCUUGCGCAAUGGGCGAAAGCCUGACGCAGCCAUGCCGCGUGAAUGAUGAAGGUCUUAGGAUUGUAAAAUUCUUUCACCGGGGACGAUAAUGACGGUACCCGGAGAAGAAGCCCCGGCUAACUUCGUG
rnacentral:rRNA from 1 species